GCGUCGGUGGUGCAACGGUUCGCAUACGCUCCCUGGAUAGAGUGAGAUCUGGGUUCGAAUCCCGGCUGACGCA